GUCGCCGGCGCGCUGAAGCGUGGGAAGGUGCCGCGGUGACCUGGCUCUGCGGCCGGGGCGCGUAGAGUUCUCAGGUUUGGCCUCAGAUAAAUUCUUCCAAGGUCUAGACCAAGAGUGAGGAGCAGACGAGCCCAACCGAUGUGAACACCAAGCCUGGUUGUCCAGUGUCAUCUUCGCUGGGAAUUAAGAAACAACUAAAAUAUCCUCCAAAGGGUGGUGGUCAAACCACGUGUGGCGCGUCUACACCCCGGAUGUGACUCAGCAGCGAUGAAAGAAGCCACUGACUCACAGGGCACCGGUGCUCUCGGGAUGAUGCUGGAUGGAAAGGCCACUCCCAGAGAUCACAUGCAGAAAGGAUGAUUCCAUCUGUUUGGCAAAAUGACAAAAUCGUGGAGCCAGACAGAGACUAGGACGCCGGUGAUUACGCUGGGCCACUCGGAUAAUCCAGGAUACUCCCCCCGUCUCGAGAUCUCUAACCACACCUGCAAAGUCACUUUUGCCAGCCAAGGCUCUAAGCAGCAGUGAGCCUGAAGGAAAAUCCAGAAACACGCAGGCCUUGUUCAGAGCUCUCCGUGUGCAGCCAGACCCCACAGCAGUCAGCUGUAACUCCAACAAGAUCUAAGCAGAAUCUGGGACUGCCACACACCAAACAGAGGAUAAGAAAUGCAGAGCCAUGAACGUGCGUGCAGGGGCUGUGUCGCACCAGAAAGCCAGCAUUCUUGGUCCACAAGAUGGGAGCUCAUCUUUCAAAUUAAAUUUGGUGCUCAUGAAUUCACAAAAGCCUCUCACUGCGGGGAGCAGAGGAGGUGAGCUCAAGUCCUCAGCAACUGUUACAAACAAGGGAUGUUCCAAGGGGCUCGCGGUGUGGGUUUAGCGCUCCUCCCUGAAUAGCUCUUGGUGUUCCCUGGAGUGGGGCCGAAUGCAAGGUCACGGCGACAUCAUACUGUCCCUCCGGGGUGGAGUGCCACCGGCGAGCAGCCGCCCCAGAACGCAGCUAAGUCGCGGCACGGGGUCACGGUCGAGAGGUUCACCAUGAACUCAAGGAGCCACCAGACGCCUGGAGCUUCGCGGAGAAGCAGUCCAUCCAGGAAGGUCGUGCGGGAAAGGGAGGGCAAGGAAGCACUCAACGUUUUCGGAAGAUCUUUCCUUUCUUCUUUGGCCUCCCUUCCUGUCCUGGUCUCCCUGUCCCCCAGCCUGCCAAACACGCCGACCUCUUGGGCUCCUGACCUUGACUUGGGCCGGGAACGCCUCCCCCCUGCAUCUCAGUCCUGUGUUUCCGUCUCCACCAACUUCUCUAUCACAGAGACGAGAGGCCCAAGACGCUGCAGAGAAAAGCCGUGGGGCAGGGGCCGGGGGCUGUCACGGGACAGCAGCUUCCCGCUGGGGACAGCUUUCUCAGGAACAGAAGCGAAGGAGAAGAAAUCAGUGAGGCUUUGCGCCAGAAGGCUGUCACAUCGGAACCACAACUGGAGUGACAUCCAGCUUCCAAGAAUCCGAACUAUAAUUAGGCAAAGGGACCAGUAACUCCAUUGCGGGGAAAAAUUAAGCUCUUGACAGAAAGAGCUGCAAAGUAAAAUUACAAGAGAUGACUGGAACGUGGGCCACCGUUAACAGAGACCCUCUCCCGUUCUAACGGUGGCCGUCUGAGACCCCACCGCGGCCACAGUCAACAGGUGCUUUCUCCCCGAGACACUCUGGCUUUUGAAGACUCUCUCCUCCCCUUUGAUUAGCUCAGAAAAGCUCAGACCCCGGACUGAGGGCUCGGAGAAGGAAGGAAGACACAGGAAGUUUGCAAAGUAUGUUCUGCCCGGUGGGCACAACCUGGGCUUAAGUCCACCCGCUGUCCGCGGUCUUUUCCUUCGCCCUCACCGUCCGCUCAGUCUGCAGGCGUUGCCUCUACGGUAGCCAGCUUCUGGCUAGGCGGGCGGCGGGGGCUUGUGUCUCCCUUGACUCUACAGCCCGGGCUGGAAGUUGUGGCCGAGGUGGGGACACCAGCUGAGAUGCUGGGUGGGGAAGGGCAGAGGCCCCAGCAGGGGUCACGGGCGGGAAGGGCCUCCAGAGGCCGGCUCUCGCCAGGUACGCUCAGGCGCAGGGGUGACCGGGACGGGAGGAAUGGAGGCCCGGAGGGCCAAGUUUAUAGCAGAGACGAGCCUGCGCUGGCCAGAGAGCCCCUGGCCGGUUCCCAGUCCUGCCCAAGCCUCUAAGCGACCGCUGCUCAUCCCAAGUCUCUUCCCGGCGAGAUCCCGUAUUCGUGAGGAAGGCAACCAGCUGUAGGAGGUAGAAAACCUGUCCAACAGUGGCUCCUGCGCCUGGGGACUCUGUCACAUCACAGGUCCCCAAGUAGACGACCCACACCUGACCCACAUCAACUUUAAAAAUGC